rnacentral:rRNA from 1 species
AAGACCUUGCACUUUUGGAGCGGCCGAUGUCUGAUUAGCUAGUUGGCGGGGUAAAGGCCUACCAAAGCUUCGAUCAGUAGCUGGUCUGAGAGGACGGCCAGCCACACUGGGACUGAGACACGGCCCAGACUCCUACGGGAGGCAGCAGUGGGGAAUUUUGGACAAUGGGCGCAAGCCUGAUCCAGCCAUGCCGCGUGAGUGAAGAAGGCCUUCGGGUUGUAAAGCUCUUUCAGCCGGGAAGAAAAGGCUGCGACUAAUAAUCGCAGUUCAUGACGGUACCGGAAGAAGAAGCACCGGCUAACUACGUGCCAGCAGCCGCGGUAAUACGUAGGGUGCGAGCGUUAAUCGGAAUUACUGGGCGUAAAGGGUGCGCAGGCGGUUUUGUAAGUCAGAUGUGAAAUCCCCGGGCUUAACCUGGGAACU